GUGCCAGCAGCCGCGGUAAUACGUAGGUGGCAAGCGUUGUCCGGAUUUAUUGGGCGUAAAGCGAGCGCAGGCGGUUUCUUAAGUCUGAUGUGAAAGCCUUCGGCUCAACCGAAGAAGUGCAUCGGAAACUGGGAAACUUGAGUGCAGAAGAGGACAGUGGAACUCCAUGUGUAGCGGUGAAAUGCGUAGAUAUAUGGAAGAACACCAGUGGCGAAGGCGGCUGUCUGGUCUGUAACUGACGCUGAGGCUCGAAAGCAUGGGUAGCAAACAGGAUUAGAUACCCUGGUAGUCCAUGCCGUAAACGAUGAGUGCUAGGUGUUGGAGGGUUUCCGCUCUUCAGUGCCGCAGCUAACGCAUUAAGCACUCCGCCUGGGGAGUACGACCGCAAGGUUGAAACUCAAAGGAAUUGACGGGGGCCCGCACAAGCGGUGGAGCAUGUGGUUUAAUUCGAAGCAACGCGAAGAACCUUACCAGGUCUUGACAUCCUUUGACCACUCUAGAGAUAGAGCUUUCCCUUCGGGGACAAAGUGACAGGUGGUGCAUGGUUGUCGUCAGCUCGUGUCGUGAGAUGUUGGGUUAAGUCCCGCAACGAGCGCAACCCUUAUUACUAGUUGCCAGCAUUUAGUUGGGCACUCUAGUGAGACUGCCGGUGACAAACCGGAGGAAGGUGGGGACGACGUCAAAUCAUCAUGCCCCUUAUGACCUGGGCUACACACGUGCUACAAUGGAUGGUACAACGAGUUGCGAGACCGCGAGGUUUAGCUAAUCUCUUAAAACCAUUCUCAGUUCGGAUUGUAGGCUGCAACUCGCUUACAUGAAGCCGGAAUCGCUAGUAAUCGCGGAUCAGCAUGCCGCGGUGAAUACGUUCCCGGGCCUUGUACACACCGCCCGU
rnacentral:rRNA from 1 species